AGAGGUUGUCCUCUCCUCUCUGGCUGAUUGUACUAAAGCUGGUUGGGGAAGGGGAAGGAAACCAGCGUUUUUUGAUUCUCUGGCAUGUGCUGAGCGCUGGACUGUGUACUGUUCGCUAUGUUGUAAGAAGCAACAAGCCUGUAAUACAGGGGCUGAUCCUAAGCAGAAACGUGGGAAGAAUCCAAGAAAUAUUUGCCAAAGGCAUCGAUGAGUAUGCCUGUGUCACCUCAGCGUGCCUCCAGGCCUUCAGGGAGCCCGGCCGACUCACCUUUCCUCCUCCAGCAUAGUGCAGAUGGACUUUAAAACAGCUCCUCUGGGCUCAGAUUCCCCACUUCCCCACUUCUGCUUCUUGGGAUUAUCUCCAAAGCAAACUAUCCAUCCCCAGGUUUUUGUCUCAAGGUCUGCUUGUAGGAAAACCCAAACUCAUGCACUGUUUAAAACCACAUGGCCACACAUCAGGGAAAGUCAAGACUUUUAUGACUUCAUUAUGGGGUGGAGAUAAGAACAUUUUGCUGCCCUUUCAUUUGGAGUUUCACUGCCUAUGCUAAGCAUCUGCAGGUGCAUCAGGACCUCAAUGGUUAUAAUAAAGAUGAUCAAAUUAACCUCAGGUUGUCAUGCAUCUGACUGUGGACUCAACGGCAGCAUGUGAAGCCACGGUGAGAAAGCAUCUGCAUGUAAGACAGGAAGAGGGACUCACUAGAAACCAGCCAUGCUUCUUCUAGCCUGAUCUUGGACUUCCAGCUUCCAGAACUGUGAGAAAAUAAAUUGGUGUUGUUUAA